AUUGAACGCUGGCGGCAUGCUUUACACAUGCAAGUCGAACGGUAACAGGCCGCAAGGUGCUGACGAGUGGCGAACGGGUGAGUAAUGCAUCGGAACGUGCCCAGUCGUGGGGGAUAACGCAGCGAAAGCUGUGCUAAUACCGCAUACGAUCUAUGGAUGAAAGCGGGGGACCGUAAGGCCUCGCGCGAUUGGAGCGGCCGAUGUCAGAUUAGGUAGUUGGUGGGGUAAAGGCCCACCAAGCCAACGAUCUGUAGCUGGUCUGAGAGGACGACCAGCCACACUGGGACUGAGACACGGCCCAGACUCCUACGGGAGGCAGCAGUGGGGAAUUUUGGACAAUGGGCGCAAGCCUGAUCCAGCAAUGCCGCGUGCAGGAAGAAGGCCUUCGGGUUGUAAACUGCUUUUGUACGGAACGAAACGGUCUGGGUUAAUACCCUGGGCUAAUGACGGUACCGUAAGAAUAAGCACCGGCUAACUACGUGCCAGCAGCCGCAGUAA
rnacentral:rRNA from 1 species